GAUGAACGCUAGCUACAGGCUUAACACAUGCAAGUCGAGGGACCGGCGCACGGGUGAGUAACACGUAUCCAACCUGCCCUUUACUCGGGGAUAGCCUUUCGAAAGAAAGAUUAAUACCCGAUAUAAAGGAUGGGGAUGCGUUCCAUUGGGUUGUUGGUGAGGUAACGGCUCACCAAGCCUUCGAUGGAUAGUGGUGCGGAGAGGAAGGUCCACCACAUCGGAACUGAGACACGGUCCAAACUCCGACGGGAGGAAGCAGUAAGGAAUAUUGGUCAAUGUGCUCUAGCCUGAACCAGCCAAGUAGCGUGAAGGAUGAAGUCUUAUGGUUCGUAAUCUUCUUUUAUAUAAGAAUAUGUAUUAUAUGAAUAAGGAUCGGCUAACUCCGUGCCAGCAGCCGCGGUAAUAC
rnacentral:rRNA from 1 species